rnacentral:rRNA from 1 species
GAUGAACGCUGGCGGCGUGCUUAACACAUGCAAGUCGAACGAACCUUCGGGUUAGUGGCGGACGGGUGAGUAACGCGUGGGAAUCUGCCCUCAGGAGGGGGAUCACGACUGGACACGGUCGCUAAUACCCCAUAUGCCGAGAGGUGAAAUGAAUUUCGCCUGAGGAUGAGCCCGCGUCUGAUUAGCUAGUUGGUGGGGUAAGGGCCUACCAAGGCGACGAUCAGUAGCUGGUCUGAGAGGAUGAUCAGCCACACUGGGACGGAGACACGGCCCAGACUCCUACGGGAGGCAGCAGUGGGGAAUUUUCCGCAAUGGGCGAAAGCCUGACGGAGCAACGCCGCGUGAGGGAUGAAGGCCUCUGGGCUGUAAACCUCUUUUCUCAAGGAAGAAGAUCUGACGGUACUUGAGGAAUAAGCCACGGCUAAUUCCGUGCCAGCAGCCGCGGUAA